AUUGAACGCUGGCGGCAGGCUUAACACAUGCAAGUCGAGCGGGGGAAGGUAGCUUGCUACCGGACCUAGCGGCGGACGGGUGAGUAAUGCUUAGGAAUCUGCCUAUUAGUGGGGGACAACAUCUCGAAAGGGAUGCUAAUAACGCAUACGUCCUACGGGAGAAAGCAGGGGAUCUUCGGACCUUGCGCUAAUAGAUGAGCCUAAGUCGGAUUAGCUAGUUGGUGGGGUAAAGGCCUACCAAGGCGACGAUCUGUAGCGGGUUUGAGAGGAAGAUCCGCCACACUGGGACGGAGACACGGCCCAGACUCCUACGGGAGGCAGCAGUGGGGAAUAUUGGACAAUGGGGGGAACCCUGAUCCAGCCAUGCCGCGUGUGUGAAGGAGGCCUUAUGGUUGUAAAGCACUUUAAGCGAGGAGGAGGCUACUUUAGUUAAUACCUAGAGAUAGUGGACGUUACUCGCAGAAUAAGCACCGGCUAACUCUGUGCCAGCAGCCGCCGUAAAAC
rnacentral:rRNA from 1 species